rnacentral:rRNA from 1 species
AAGUAUUAAAGGUCCCGCCUGCCCAGUGAAACAUCUUAAACGGCCGCGGUAUUCUAACCGUGCAAAGGUAGCGUAAUCACUUGUCUUCUAAAUAAAGACCUGUAUGAACGGCUAAAUGAGGACAAACCUGUCUCUUAUAACCAAUCAGUGAAACUGAUCUCCCAAUACAAAAGUUGGGAUGAAUACAUAAGACGAGAAGACCCCGUGGAGCUUAAAACAAACCACCAAUCAAAUGACCCUGGUGCACUGUUUUGAGUUGGGGCGACUUCGGAAAAAAACAAAACUUCCGAGCACAGAACCACUACUUCUAACCGAGGCUAACAAGCCUAAGUUUAACCUGACCCGGCCUCACGCCGAUCAACGGACCAAGUUACCCCGGGGAUAACAGCGCUAUCUUCUUUAAGAGUCCCUAUCAACAAGAAGGUUUACGACCUCGAUGUUGGAUCAGGACACCCUAAUGGUGCAGCCGCUAUUAACGGUUCGUUUGUUCAACGAUUAACAGUCCUACGUGAUCUGAGUUCAGACCG